rnacentral:rRNA from 1 species
AGUGAACGCUGGCGGCAGGCCUAAUACAUGCAAGUCGAACGGCAGCACAGCAGAGCUUGCUCUGUGGGUGGCGAGUGGCGGACGGGUGAGGAAUGCAUGGGAAUCUGCCCAGUCGUGGGGGAUAACGUAGGGAAACUUACGCUAAUACCGCAUGCGCCCUUCGGGGGAAAGCCGGGGACCUUCGGGCCUGGCGCGAUUGGAUGAGCCCAUGUCGGAUUAGCUAGUUGGCGGGGUAAUGGCCCACCAAGGCGACGAUCCGUAGCUGGUCUGAGAGGAUGAUCAGCCACACUGGAACUGAGACACGGUCCAGACUCCUACGGGAGGCAGCAGUAGGGAAUAUUGGACAAUGGGCGCAAGCCUGAUCCAGCCAUGCCGCGUGCAGGAUGAAGGCCUUCGGGUUGCAAACUGCUUUUGUACGGAACGAAACGGUGAGCUCUAAUAAAGCUUGCUAAUGACGUACGUAAGAAUAAGCACGGCUAACG